rnacentral:rRNA from 1 species
UACGUAGGGGGCUAGCGUUGUCCGGAAUCAUUGGGCGUAAAGCGCGUGUAGGCGGUCCGGUAAGUCCGCUGUGAAAGUCGAGGGCUCAACCCUCGAAUGCCGGUGGAUACUGUCGGGCUAGAGUGCGGAAGAGGCGACUGGAAUUCCUGGUGUAGCGGUGAAAUGCGCAGAUAUCAGGAGGAACACCGGUGGCGAAGGCGGGUCUCUGGGCCGUAACUGACGCUGAGGAGCGAAAGCAUGGGGAGCGAACAGG